rnacentral:snoRNA from 1 species
UAAUAUGAUGAUUGACUUAAUUUAAUAACUUUCGUUCUACUGAGUUCGAUCAAACGAUCGUGUAGACAACUUUUCUUUCUGAGC